GACAGAGGGGGCGAGCGUUGUCCGGAGUCACUGGGCGUAAAGCGCGCGCAGGCGGCAACCUAAGUGUCGUGUGAAAGCCCCCGGCUCAACCGGGGGAGGCCAUGGCAAACUGGGUCGCUCGAGCUGCGGAGAGGCCCUCGAAGUGCCGGUGUAGCGGUGAAAUGCGUAGAGAUCGGCAGGAAGACCCAGGGGGAAGCCAGGGGGCUGGCCGCAGGCUGACGCUGAGGAGCGACAGCGUGGGGAGCAAACCGG
rnacentral:rRNA from 1 species